rnacentral:tRNA from 1 species
GGAGGGUUGACAGAGUGGUCGAUCGUGACGGUCUUGAAAACCGUUGUCCUUUACCGGACCAAGGGUUCGAAUCCCUUACCCUCCUCCA